UACGUAGGGUGCGAGCGUUAAUCGGAAUUACUGGGCGUAAAGCGUGCGCAGGCGGUUGUGCAAGACAGAUGUGAAAUCCCCGGGCUUAACCUGGGAACUGCAUUUGUGACUGCACGGCUAGAGUGUGUCAGAGGGGGGUAGAAUUCCACGUGUAGCAGUGAAAUGCGUAGAUAUGCGGAGGAACACCAGUGGCGAAGGCGAGUCCCUGGACGAUAUCUGACACUGAGGCACGAAAGCUAGGGGAGCAAACAGG
rnacentral:rRNA from 1 species